CCUACGGGAGGCAGCAGUAGGGAAUAUUGCUCAAUGGGGGAAACCCUGAAGCAGCAACGCCGCGUGGAGGAUGAAGGUUUUCGGAUUGUAAACUCCUUUUGUUAGAGAAGAUAAUGACGGUAUCUAACGAAUAAGCACCGGCUAACUCCGUGCCAGCAGUCGCGGUAAUACGGAGGGUGCAAGCGUUACUCGGAAUCACUGGUCGUAAAGAGCGCGUAGGCGGGAUAGCAAGUCAGAUGUGAAAUCCUAGGGCUUAACCAUAGAACUGCAUUUGAAACUGUUAUUCUAGAGUAUGGGAGAGGUAGGUGGAAUUCUUGGUGUAGGGGUAAAAUCCGUAGAGAUCAAGAGGAAUACUCAUUGCGAAGGCGACCUGCUAGAACAUAACUGACGCUGAUGCGCGAAAGCGUGGGGAGCAAACAGGAUUAGAUACCCCGGUAGUC
rnacentral:rRNA from 1 species